AAAUUUUAUUUUAUAAUUAUACAUAUAUAUAAUUAUAUACAUAUAUAAUUAUAUUAAUUUUUAUUUAUUAUAAUUUAUUAUUCACUAAGUUACAAAAUAGACAAUAAUAUCACUUCGGAGGUAAGUAUAACGGGGGUGGAGAGCUACACUUUUUGCGUCAUCUACUUCCUACCAAACAACUAACAGAACUCACAGAACUGCACUUCCACAGUUAUAAACAAACAGCGGAAGUGAAUUAAUUUUCACCUAAACUCCACUUCAACCCAAAGUCCACUUCCACCCCAAAUCUAUUUACGUUGAAACAAACAUGCAGGGUUAGGGUUUUCAUCAGCCUCUACAUAUAUAGAUAAGGUUAAUUGCAUAAAAGUCCCCGCAAACGUGGUGAAUUGCAAAUAUAUCCCUGCAAAUUUUAACUUUCAUAAGUUAUUCCUGCAAAAGUCUUAAUGUAUUCAGAUAUGUCCUUCUAGUUAGGAUCCGUUAGAGAACUGUUUACUUUUUAAUAGUCGGUUCGUGAAAUGAUAUUUUUGCCCUCACAAAUAUGUCCCUCCGAAAGCCCUCUCAAUUUUUGCCCUUUUUCUCUUUCUCUUCCUUCUCAAGCUGCGGGAGCGGGCGGCAGCAGCGACGAAAGCGGACGAGGUAGAGGCCCGCAGCGGUGACGCGGAAGGUAAAGGUGUGGCCGAUUCGGAUGCGCUCAUGACGACAGCUCACGCGAGCACGACGAUUGGAUCAUCGACGACGACGACGACAAAGAAAAAGAAGGAGGAGAAAAGGAGGAAAAGGAGGAUACAAAGAAGAAGAGGAAGAAGAAGAAGUAGAAGAGGAAGAGGAAGAGGAAGAAGAAGAAGAAAAAGAAGAAGGUUAAAAUUAUUAAUUCACCUUAUUAAUUAAUCAUGGUUAAGUAUUUUACCUGUGGUGAACUAAAUUUCUCUAACGGAUCCUAACGGCAGGGACAUAUCUGAAUACAUUAGGACUUUUGCAGGAAUAACUUAUAAAAGUUGAACUUUGUAGGGAUAUAUAUGUAAUUAAGGGGACCUAUAUGCAAUUAACCUAUAUAACACAUAUAUAUGGAGAGUUCGGCUACUAUACGCUUAUGAAUACGAUCGCCUUCGUACUCAUAAGUCGUUUUUUAUGAUAGAGCUUCCGAAUCGACGAUCCAUACCGAUAAACAUUAUCUAGAGCAUUUAAAACCUUUCGAAAUCAAAUUUCAUAAUUUUUCGACAUCAUUUACCUUACGAUCAAAAGCUCACAAAAUUGACAAUUUUUAACGACCGGUAUGAGAUACUUGCUAGUUUAACAGUGUAAAAGAAUUGGAAUAGGUUGAAUUUUUGAUAGAAAAUUCUAUUCACUACCUAAAUAAAGAUCAAUAACUCCGAUCUUAAAUUGAAGGAUCCGAUCAUCCAUUUUUAGGACGUCAUUCGAUUUUGACCGUUCAUUUUAUGCUCGUUUGAUGGACUUUAUUAUGAUUUCAAAAAAUUACGAAAUUUAUUUUUUAGAAGUUUCAAAUACUCUAGAUCAUAUUUAACGGAGUGGAUCGUCGAUUCGGAAG
rnacentral:lncRNA from 1 species